CCCUUAGAUGUUCUGGGCUGCACGCGCGCUACACUGAUGCGCUCAACGAGUUUUAACCUUGCCUGGAAAGGUUGGGUAAUCUUUUUAAAACGCAUCGUGAUGGGGAUAGAUUAUUGCAAUUAUUAAUCUUCAACGAGGAAUUCCUAGUAAGCGCGAGUCAUCAGCUCGUGCUGAUUACGUCCCUGCCCUUUGUACACACCGCCCGUCGCUCCUACCGAUUGAAUGCUCAGGUGAGCCAUUCGGACUUUCAUCAUGCUGGUUUCCAGUUUUGAUGAAGGAAAGUCUUGCGAACCUUAUCAUUUAGAGGAAGGAGAAGUCGUAACA
rnacentral:rRNA from 1 species